UCCCUGGUGGCUCAGACAGUAAAGAAUCCACCUGCAAUGUGGGAGACCUGGGUUCGAUCCCUGGUUUGGGAA
rnacentral:tRNA from 1 species